rnacentral:miRNA from 1 species
UACGUAUGUGUGUGUGUGUAUAUGUGUAUAUAUAUAUAUAUAUACAUAUACACACACACACACACACACACACACACACACACA